GCGAGGCUGUGUAACUAUGCAUAGGAUUGUUCGUCGAAAAAUCCUUGGUGUAAAGCUUAAAGUCUUGUUUAACAAGAAGGGUUCCCCUUAUGGUGCUGCAGCGAAGGAAAUGUAGUCAUACAUUGGGGUACUUGCACGUACCAAGGCACCUAUUUGGAGACCUACUUGGAAGCAGGUGCCAAGAGAUCGUAAAAAUAAGAUAUGGCAAUGUGUUGAGAUGGCAUUUGAGGUACCACCGGAGGCAAGGAAACUGGUCCUAUCUUCAGCUUGUCAAAAGUGGAGAGAAUUCAAGAGUAAGCUGACUACACACUACAUCAUACCUUUUAAGGAUGAACCAGAACUGCUAGAGUAUCCCCCUGCUGAUUACAACUUCAUCGAGAAGUCUCAUUGGGACAUAUUUGUAGCUUAUCGGUUAUCUGAGGACUUUUUGGCACUUCAGAAGGUGCAAAAGGGAAAGAGGGCAAAGAACAAGUACCUUCAUCGCAUGU